rnacentral:lncRNA from 1 species
CCCGAUUCUUUCAUGAGUGCAAAUAUUGCCAAUUUCAAGCUCAUGAAAGUACUAGAUCUGGAAGAUGCUCCUGUAGAUUACCUUCCUGAAGGAGUGGGGAACUUAUUCAAUUUACACUACUUGAGUGUGAAAAAUACAAAAGUAGAAAGAAUUCCCAAGUCCAUUGGAAAUCUUCUCAGUUUAGAGACUUUGAAUAUGAAAAAUACUUUGGUGAGAGAACUUCCAGUAGAGAUCAGGAAUCUUAAAAAGUUGCGUUAUCUAAUGGUGUAUCAGCUCAAUUAUACCGCAGGUGGAACAGUGGCAGAAGAAGCAGCAGCGAAAUUACACGAGGGCUUUGGGUCUCUAACGAAUCUGCAGAAGUUGUGUAUUAUAGAAGCUGACUCUGAAGCGCUCAAAGAGCUUAUGAAGCUAAGGCAGUUAAGAAAGUUGAGCAUUAGGCCCCAAAAUGGAAGUGGCAAGGAUCUGUGUGCUUUGAUUGCAAAUUUGGAAAACCUAGAGUCUUUAAAUGUAGGAAUGAAAAGCAAAGAAGAAGUACUUGGCUUGCAGUCUUUGAGUCGUUCUCCUCGAUAUCUGCAGCGUCUGUACUUGAAGGGGAAUAUGAAGAAACUGCCGGAUUGGAUUUUUAAACUAAAAAAUGUAAUCAGAUUGAGUUUGGUACUGUCGGGAUUGACUGAGGAGCCAAUCAGAGUCCUUCAAGCCUUGCCUAAUUUAUUGGAUCUUUUACUCACAGGGACAUACAACUACGAGCUUUUUCACUUUGAAGCAGGUUGGUUUCCAAAACUCCAAAUAUUGAAGCUCUUUGACUUCGUCGCGGUGAAAUCGGUUAUAAUAGAGAAAGGUACGAUGCCUGAUAUUAAAGAACUGCAGAUUGGGCCUUGCCCGCUGUUGAUGGAGAUUCCUAUUGGAAUUGAACAUCUUAAAAACCUUAAGCUACUUCUAUUUGCUCGUAUGGUUAAACAAGUGUAUUACAUGACAAAAGACGAGAACUGGGAGAAGGUUACUGAGCAUAUACCAGAUGUCCUUGUCACUUUUGUGAAGGCCGGGCAAGUGUUUCAUUAUGGAAAAGAGGAUCUCUCGGUUCUCUCAUCUCUGUCUCCUGAAUAUGUUGAGCAAAUCUGCUGAAGAAGAGGACUCAAAUAGGGAGCAGUCUAUGAAAUAAGUAAACAUGUCUGCCACUCUCCUGCAUAUUUGGAUUAUUUUCUAUUUACUUUUAAGAAAAAUUAUUUUUCUCAUUUUUAAUUUGACAGACAAUUUAAUUAUAUAUAAUUCAAAUAAAAAUUCACCAAGAAAAUUCAUUUUUCCCUGUAAUUUGAGUACGUUUAAUAAAUAAAUAAACAAAUGCAGUAGGUCAGUAAAUCUUUUUCUAGUCAAAUAUAUAGUUAGAAUCAUAUAAUGAUUAGGUAUUAAUGUUAGUAUAGUAAUUUCCGUUAUAUUUUUUGUUACCAUGAACAGAUGGAGUAUAUAUAUCUUGCUUCUAGCGAAUUCAUUGAUGAGUUCAUCGAACGUAUACUGGAUCAGAUUGUGGCGGCAAUGCUGCUAUUGAUAUGCUUUGAGUUUCGGUAAUUAUUAUCAGUGUUAUCAUGUAAUACAUGCUUAUGUGAGUGGUUGCUGCUGCGAGUGUGAGUGUAUUCUUCUAUAUAUCUAAGACUCAGAUUAUGAUUUUAGAAAUAUUGUAGUAUUGCCAGGAAUCGUCAUCAUAUAAUAUUUAAUGUUUAAUAAUAAAACUGUCUAAUGUUUAAUAAUAAAAACUGUGUGCCAAUGUGGUUACCAUUGGUAUGUGGUUAAUUUGUGUGGAAUGAUGCAUUUGCCUUAAUUUUAAUCUGUACCUUGGUAGUGUCGUUAAGGUGCACCAAAUUUAAAACCUUACCACUAAUAUAAAUAAUUAGUACAAAGCGAAGUAAGGAUCGAUCCCACAGAGACUAUGCUAGUUAUAUUUAUUUAUCAACUCUAAAGCAAGAUUUAAAAUAAAAUAAUAGUAGUAAUAAUAGAAAUUAAUCUAACUAAAGAAAAUGCCAAUUAUAAAUAAAAAGGGGGUUUAUGAAUUUUUAACUAAAUAGUAAGAAAUAAAGAAAUUAAAACUACGAACAAGAAUUUAAUAAAAACUCUAGUUAAAGGAAAAAGAAAUAAUGAUGAUGAAAACUUUGGUUAAAGGAUCAUUCGCCACCACCAAACAUGCACAUAAUAUAUUAAUUCUAUCAUCAAUUUAUAUUGAAACUAUCAACCGUAGACAACAAUAAGCUCUGUUAGUCUCAAUCUUUCCUUAGUGUGUCGUUAGGCAAAACAAGCUCUUCACCUAAUCUUUAACCAUUAAAUAAUUUAAAACAAGCUCUUUAAAUUUAAGAUAAUGGAAGCAUUAAACAAAGAAAUAUAUUAAAUUGAUCUAGGCAAUAAACACACAAGCUCGGAUUAUUUAACCUAGGUUAUGUUCUCCAAUUGAAAUCACUGAUUCCAACCUGCUACUAAUGAUUAAAAUAUCAAGACAAUUACGGAUCAAGAAUUUUAAUCUAGCAAUAGAAUUUAUUCAAGUCCUAUCUAAUUGGCCACUCAAAUAAAACAAGAAUAAACCAUGAAUAUUAAUUAUAAAAGAACAUAAACAAUCUCAAUUAAAUAAAUUGAAUGAUAGAGUUUAACUUUAAUUGCAUAGCAUGUUUAGGGUUUUGAAUUCACCCUCAACCAAAUAAAAAUUUAGCCUAACAUAAUUGAAUUGGGAAGAAGAGAAUUGACAAAACCAAUCAUGGAGAUUAAUUCAAGCGGCUGCUGAUUUUUCUCUUCUCCUUGCGCCUGUUGAUUUUUUUCUCUGCCCGAAUUGCGUCUGCCCUCCCCUCUCGCUCUCUGGCAGCUCUCCUUUUAUAAUGCUAGUUGACCGAAUUCUUCUCCAACAAGUCUAAAGAAAUCCUUUUUCAAUUCUAAUUGAAAUCCUUUUCCAAUUUGAACUUGUAUUCCUUUUCAAUUUGAACUUCUUCAUGUCCUUUUUAUCCACAAUCUCCAAUUAAUUCCCUAUUCAAUAAAAUAAUACAAUUAAUUAAAAAUAAUAAAUAAAAAUAACUAGCAAAUAUAUAAUAAAGGGUAAAAUAUGUAUAUUAAUUAAUUCCCUAUUCAAUUAAAAAUUAACUAAAAUAACUAGAAUGUUUCAGAUCAAAACAAGAAAAAGAUGGAGAAAUUAAUAACAAAAUAUAUGAAAAAUAUGCACUUAUCAUACCUUAUUGUCUUCGUCAUAAUAACUUAGCAAAAAAUUGUAUCACAUGCAUUUUCAUGUUCUCAAGUUUAAUUUCCUCUUCAUUUGCAUAAUUGUGCUUAUUAUUUUGCGACAUCUAUCUGGAUUAGUCUACAACUUUCAUUGGAUUUAUUUAUUUAUUUUAUUUAAGAAGUGAACUGGACAUGUAUGUGAAACCGUUAUUCUAAAAAUUAAAUGCAUAGUUAAGAUUGCGGUUAAUGAAUUUUCAAACAAUCACUUAUUUAAAAAAAAAAAAUUACUCAAUUAUAUUUGAGUUGUCAAAUUAUUUUAAGUAAACAUAUAUCAUUUUUGGACUGGAUACACUCACAAUCAUCAAAUAAUUGAUUUUCAAAUAUAAUUUGAGAAUAAAAUCCAUCUGGAUUGCAGACUUUUUGUAACACAGAGAAAGUCUAUAAUUGGGAUUGGGGAAUUAAACUUACUAAGCCAUUCUACUAUUCUUGGGGAAAAAAUAUAAGUGGCAGCAGUUAGGGUUAUAAGGUAAAGAAUACAGAGAAACUUUAUAAAAAAAAGCAUAGGUGACUCUAAAUUUACAAUCAAAUAAAAGAGAAAUUUUAUUUUAAAAAAAAAGUAUGGGUAACUCUAAAGUUAGAAAAUUACAGAUGAUUGCGAUUGAAUUUGUAAUUUUGCUUUCGAAAUUGCUUUAAGUUGCUUAGUAAAUUGGUCCUGCGGAGACUCACUCCUUAUAAUCUAUAUGUUAGAUCAAAGUGUUAGUUUUUGCGUGAGUUAAAGAGAAAGAUUGAUAGAAAUUUCAUCUUAUUUUUUCAUGUCAUGGAUAAAUGAGAGCCGAAACAAUGUUGAGUCUCUUCACUAUAAAAGCAAUUUUCAUACAUCUUUUCCUUCAGCUUUAUGAUAUUCAAUGCACGUAGUCCCGAGUCCCUACCUCUAGCCCUUUAUUAAUUAUUGGUUAAGAAACUUGUGGGCCUUAAAUGAUAAGAUAUAUACUUCUUAACUCCACCUUCACGGUUUCGCCAUCUUGGUUGGAAGAAAUCAUUAAAAGAAACACAGAUAAAAUUAAACACAGAUAAAAUUAAAAAAAUCAUUAAAAGAAAUUGUAACCGCUGCUCAUCAAUAAAAAGCCAUCUUGGUUGGAAGAAUUUCAAUAAAAAUACAGAUGGUAUUUGAUUUGAAUUUGAAAAGUAAAUUAAGGACACUAAUAAAUAAGGAAACACAAAUAAAAAAGCCAAAACACAAACGACCACAUAUACAUAGGCCGGGCCGUGCCCUUGGACAUGACAACACGACCCUCAAAUAAUUUCAAUCUCUUGAUUAUUAUUCCCAAAACACCUUUCCAAACUUUCCCUGCAUUAAAAGUCAUGAAGAUAAUUCAUUAAUUUGAUCAAACAGUAAAGUUAAUUAUGUCAUUGUAUAUUUGUGGGUCAAGUUAAAUGAAGCAUUUUCCUCCAUAUUGAUCAUUUUCCCAGCGAACGUAUAACAAACUUUUCAGCACUUUAAUUAAUCUCACCGUUAAGUCUUAAACUCUCUCUGUAUUCAACACAUCGACCCUUGAAUCUUGAUGGCAAUAUUAGUAGUAGGUAUGGCUGCUGAAGAAGAAGAGAAAAGAGAAAUGAGUUUUACAGAAAAAGAUGAAGAAGAAGAUAAAUGGAUAAUGCAUUAUUCAUCAAAGCAUCAAAUACUGUUAGUGGGUGAAAGAGAUUUCUCGUUUUCCUUUGCUUAUCGCAGAAAUUUGGCUCUGCUUCUAACAUCUGGGCUUCUUCUCUUGAUUCUUAUGGUAAUUCAUUCAUUUCUCUAAUCUCUCUCUUCUCUUACAUCUUUUUUGUUUCUUUAGAUUUUUUUUUUAUCAUAUGAUGUGGCAAAAAUUAUUCUGUUUAUAAGUCUUUAUCCUCAAUUUGAUAUGUUAAAUUGUCACUUACUUUGAUGUGUAACCGUAAAGAAAUGAUCAAAUUUAUAGGAAAAUAGUAAAAUGACCAGGAAAACUAGGAAAACGUAUUAUUAAUGCCUCUGUUUUUUUUUUUUUUUUUCCAAUAAUUGGAUUUCAUAUGAUGGGAGGCCAAAAUGACCCUAUUUACAAAUCUUUAUCUUCAAUUUGAACUGUUUUACUUCAAAACUAGAACUAUUAAAUAAGAGUCAGGCAUUAGUACAAAAGUUAAAUAUAACAGUCCGGUCCCUUCUUUAUAAGGUGAAUAUCAUUUCAAGGUCACAUUUAUUUAGGGGCGAAGCUACUUUUUUCAAGCUGGUGGUUAGACUAAUUUUUUUAAGUUAAAAAAAAAUCUUAAAGUAAAGCUAUUGAAUUAAACCAUAACAAUAAGUUACACAUUUUUUAGGUUUUAAUAAUAUUUUGUGAUUUAUGUUUAUUUAAAAGUAAAAAUUAUCAAACUUCAAAACUGUGACUACAAUACUCCAUGAGUGCCAUACUCCACAACUUGGCCCUGCUAGAUGGUUCUAGAUUAUUGACUUUUAAUUACUUUUUAAUUAUCUAAUGAUGCUUAGUCUAUAGAGUACGGUAUCCUUAGAAAUCAUAAAUAGACACUUUAAAGAAUUAAAAGCUAAAUGAGUGAUAAAUAUCUUUUUGUAAUUAGUUUAAUUGAGACCAAAAAUAGAUUUCUAAAAUGAGAUGGAGUGGGGAAGAAGUUGGGAAAAAUGACCGUGAGCUUGAGCGAUAAACUUGUAAAUUAUGCUGUGGUGUUUUGUUAAAAAUAACAGUGGCAGCUAGUUUUAUAAAUUCUGCAUGGUAAUUUUGUGAACAACAUAGAAAUAAAAAAUAAAAAAACUAAAAAACUAAAUUAUUAUUAUUAUUAUUUUGUUGGCGUAUCUUGCUUAUUUGGAAGUGAACAUAAAUUGUAUAUUUGGAUGGACUAGAAACUGUGAUUCAGAAAUUCAAGGAGGCACGGUCAAAUUUGGACACCCUAAGGAAGCUGGGAGCAUCCAUUCUCCAUGGAGUUGAUGCAACUGAAAUGAAGUAACAUCCUCAAUUUACCAAGCGGAAGUUCGAUAGAAUAAUCUUCAACUUCCCCCAUGCUGGCUUUCAUGGAAAGGAAGAAGAUGACGAAGUUAUUCGUGAGCUGCCUGGUGAGUCCAUUGGACAUAUGUGUCAAUAUAGUGAGUUAAAAAUGGUUGUAAUACGAGGGAACUUGAUAUAUAAAGUGAUCCAUAUUUCUUAAUAAUUCAAGAUGCAUGUAGUGUUCAGGAGUUUGCGUGAUAUUUCCACGUCACCAAUUCUUAAAAUGUUGGCUCCUACACCUGUUCCAUGAUCUUUCUUCUGGUAAUUAUCGCAGAAUGCAUAUGAGCCUUGUGGAAGGUUUCUUCAGAAAUGCAAGUGGUAUGCUGAGGCCAGAUGGUGAAGUUCAUGUAAGCCACAAAACAACAGCUCCAUUUUGCAAAUGGCAUAUCGAUCGAGGAACUCGCUCGCAAGCACUCUUUGUCAAGACUCGACUGUGUCCAAUUUAGAAAAAAAGACGACCCAGGUCACAACAACAAGAAAGGUGCUGGUUCGCAAUGCAAUGACCAUUUUCCCUUGAGAAAGUGCAGUACCUUCAAAUUUGGAUUCUAUCGUGCUCGCAAGAGGUCUAAAGUAAUGAGUUAUGGUGGAUUUGCUAUCAAAAGACCUAAGGCUGCUCAAGAGAUUCCAAUCGAAGCGCAGAAGCAUGAAACGGAUCCAUUUGACUGGAGAUAUACUAAUGCAAGGUCAGCUACUGAUAUGAAUGAAUUUCCAUUGUGUGUGAAGUUUGAUAGUAGCUGGGUGGGUUACUCUGUUCCAAGCUUUACCAGAAAUAUGACUGAUGGUCCAGGAUAUAAGAGACAAGCUUUGAUGAGUAAUGCCACGUUCCAUAAUGGCUGCUUUAAUACUCCCAACACGACGCUUAGAACAGUUGCUGACGACGUGGGCUAUGUUGUUCCCGAAUCACGAAUUCCAUAUGAAAGAUAUAACACGGAAGUAGCAGGAUUCCAAAGAGAAAAUGCUAGGAGUUAUGAUAAAGCAGUGCGACCAGGAAGAACCUUAAACGGAUUUUUGUAUCCUAUGGAGGGACGUGACUGUGAGGGAACUUUGAGACCAGCACAGUCGCCAAGGAUGAGGUUAGGAUUUAGUCACCAGCUGCUUUAAGGGAGAACGUGGUGCUAUUAUGCUUUCGUGGAACAUUGAGCGACUUUUUGUCUUUAGUCGUGAAUUCUAGCUAGUUAAGCAUAUAUAGGUAUCGCAGUGUAGGUAAAAAGUUUUUAUUUGCUUUCAUUUCUGUUUGUCCUAAAAAUUAAGAAUUUCAGCAAUCUGUUGGUGUGUUGCAUGGUGUUGUCAAUCUCCUAUUUGCAAAGAACUCGAUCUGUUUCCUGUUGAUAGAACUAAAUUUAGCUUAACAAGAUCGAUGAAUUCAUCAAUGCAUUCACCACAAGUAAGAUACUCCUCCAUCGGUCAAUUAAGACAUGCAUGCAAAUUAUAGUAAUGCUACAAUUAAUAUACUUUUAUCAGUGUUAUUAUGUAAUAUAUGCUUAUGUGAGUGGUUGCUGCUGUGAGUUAGUGUAAUCUUUGUAUAUCUAAGACAAUAAUUUUAGAAUUGUUGUAAUUCUAUUGUCAUCAUAUCGUAAUCCGGUUUUAAUUAAAAAAAGAAAACGAAAAUUGUGUCCCAAUGUGAUUACCACUGCUGUAUGUUAACUUAUGCGGAAUGAUGCAUGCCUUAAUUAUGUUUGAGUUUUCAAAUUAUUUUAAUCAAACAUAUGCAGUUGAUAAGAAUUGUCCUUAGUUUUAGAUUCGAUACACUAGCAAUCAUCAAGUAAUUGAUUAUCAAAUAUAAUCUGGGAGUAGGAUCCAGUACAAUUGAUAAGUUGCCCAAUCCCAAACAUGUAUAAAGAGUUGUUUGUAUUUUGUUUAAAGUCUAAAUUUUACUUAUUUUCAGACAUUUAUUGUUUUUCAUUUAUUAGUUUUCUGUCACUUAUAUUUGGUUACAGGGUCCAGCUACCGUGCCCGAGGGGCAGGGUACUAGGGAUGGCAAUGGGGAGGGGAGGGGAGGGGAGGGGACCAAUCUCUCCGUACCCAUCCUCGAUAUUUUGCGUAUGUCCCCGUCCCCGUCAGAAUUACUUGAGAGAAUCUUCAUCCUCUCCCCGAAUAAUAACAGGGGAUCCCCAAGGGUCCCCGAUCCCCGAAUAAUUAAUACAUUUUUUGUUUUCGAUUUUGAGUUAAUCAUAUUAAAAUAAAAAAUUCAAAUAAAAGUAAAGUUUGAAAUAUAUCUUACAUUAAUAUCCAUUACAAAAGUUACAUACAUUAAAUUAGUAAGUAACGCAGCAUGUAAGGGAUACAAAUUUCUUUUACAAACUAUCGUGAAUAAAUUAAUAGUCUAAUACAAAAUUGUUACACAUAAAAUCAAAUUUAGAUUCAAAAUUAACUUUUUCAAUGGUGGCGUGGCACUUUAUAAAAUGUGCACUAUUCCCUUUACAACACAAUAGUUAAGUCGGAGCAAAUCAAAAGUAAAUAUUAGAUUAAAUUAUAUUAGAUUAAAUUAAAUUAGAUAUUAAAAUUGUGAUUCGCUGUAGGCAAUUAUAACAUCUAAAAAUAAAUAAAAAAUAGAUUUAAGUUUAAAACAUUUAAUGAAUAUUAAAAUUAAAACAAAAUUUUUGGGCUAAUAAAAUUUACCCAGUUUUUUUAAUGUCCUAAAUAAAAAUUUAUGACUUUAAGUAGUUAAUUAGGCCUAAAAGUUUAAUAAUAUAAAUAUUUUUAUAUUUGUAUUUUUACCAAUAUUUAUAAUUUUAUAAUUCAAAUUUUAUUAUUUAUUUACUAGUAAUUUUAAAAAAUAAAAAUAAAAUAAAAAAUUAAAAUGGGGAAAUGGGUAGGGGAUGGGGAUGGGGAUUCCACCUCAUCCCCGUCCCCUCCCCGAAUAAGAAAUUGGGUAAAAAAAUUUUCCUGUCCCUUCCCCGAAUAAGAAAUUGGGUAUGAAAUUAUCUUCAUACCCUCCCUGAAUGGGGAAAAUCCCCGAGGGUACCCGUCCCCCUGGGGAUUUUUGCCAUCCCUACAUGGUACCCUUUUUUUUUGUCAUUAUCCAGUGUAGCCGUUAGAUUAUAAUUAAUUUAAUCCAACGGAUGGGGUUUGAAAGGCGUAAAAGUCAAUUACAGUGGGAAACCGUCGAAACCAGUUUCUUCCAGUUUCUUUGUUCGAGAUAAGUGCUAGGGACUGUAAACCCUUACUAGCCAUUUUGACCGAUGACAGCGGUUUCUCGAAUGCAAGAAAAUUGAAAUGGGCAAGGCGUAACUGUGGCUGGGGCAGCACUUCCGUGUGGGAUUUUUGAAUUGGCUUGCGAUGACUUGCAGUUUGUCGUGGCAGUAUUGAAUGAAUCAGAAGGGAUUGGAUUAACAAAAUUUAAGGUCAGUGUAAUUCGAAUUUUAGAUUAGUGAUAGGAAUCAUUUGUCGCUAAUAAAAGUGGAUGGUGGAAAUUCAACGUUUCGUUUGGAUAAUUGGAAAAAUUGAGGGGGCAUGGCAAAAAAUUUAAAUUUAAAUUAAGGAUAUGUCCUGAACAACGCGGUUGCUGGUUGAGUGGAAAUAUUGAACCCAGAUGAAUAAUGAAUUGUUUUACAUAUACACGAUUGCAAAAUAUAUGUUGUACAGAGAUGGAAAAAUUGAGGAGUAGAGGGCAAUAAUUAUUCAAAUUAUUUAGGGAUUAUUUAGCAGCAGUUCAAUAAAAUCUCACCAGAGCCAGCAAUCUAAUCGCGCUCCGUUCUUCCUCACCAUUCUCAUAGUCGGCUCGCUCUGUCUUCUCCGUCGAUUUAAUCUCUCACAACAAUUAGCGCCACAUCUUCUUCACUUUAGAAUAAGAAACACUCAGCUGAAGAAAUCACAAAACAUAAAACUCAAAUAUAGCAUUAAGCAUAAACUCAGUUAAAAUUGAGCUCCAAAUUAUAGAUUCCAUCUGAAUUAUUAUACAACGUUGCAUCUAUAUAUCAAUUAUCAUUCGAAUAAAACAAAAACCAAAAUAGGGAAAAGGCAUGGUAUACAAUCAUUCAUGGGUUAGACACAUAAAUCACUGUGUAAUCAGACAUUCUAACAAGAAAUUUCCAACAGUCGGCGAAGAGAUAACGGCAGCUAUGACCCACAACUGCUAUGGAUUUAGGAGGGAGAGAGAGUGAGCCGCAGUUGUUGGAUUUGGAGAAGGAGAGACCCACAGCGGGGAAGAGAGAGUGACCCAUGGCGGUUGGAUUUGGGGUGAAGGGAAGGGAGAGAGCCGACAAUGAGAUUAGUGGCGAGAGAGCAAGAGGGAGAGAGCGUGUGUGUUGCAAUUGUGAACACGUGUGUGUUACAAUUUAUACUUAUGAUGGGUGUCGAAGCCAACAAAAAUAAAUUCCUACUCUAAAUAAAUUGUGUAUAGUGAUUGAGCAGGGUCGUGUCUACAGAGAUCGGUAAUUAUUUAAAUCCUUUUGAAACGUAAAACGUAAAAUGGGGGAAUUGUUGACAAUAAUAAAAAUCAAAUUAAAAUAACAAGAAUGCAAAUUAAAGUUGUAAUUCAAAUUGGAGAAAGCUCUGGUUGAAGGAAUCAACUCAGCUUGAUUCGACUACUGAUCAUUGAUUCAAAUAUAGAUUAUUAUUAUUACUUAUGAAUAGACCGGUUAUAGCUACUGAGACCCUCUAAUAGCCAAUCUCUCCUUAACUAGUCGAUAACCAAGGUACGACCGUUGGUUAUUUCCCUAAUCAAUAGACAACCCUAGAUACGAUCAUAGGAUUUAAUCAAUUGACAGCCUGAGAAACCAGAGAGACCCAAAUCCUAAUCAACACAUAUGAUGAUUCAUUUAAAUUAGAUUGUUUAUUCUCACAACACAACUCUCUGCUAUGUUAUUUGUCACAAACAUUAAAUUCUUCAUACGAUGAAUCCUUUAAUUGACAAUAGAUUAAGUUGAUAAUUAAAUAGUGGCCAAUUACUUAAUUAACAAACAUAAUCAUGAAACUAAUUCAGAGAAUAAACAAAUACCCAAAAAGUAAUAAAACAAUUAAAGCACAAGAAAGAUCUCACAGUAGUGAUGAAUCAAAGCUUCAUUAUCCUUCAACCAGAAAAAUAGGUUUAGUUCUUCAUAGAGAGAAGAGAAAAAUUAGAUCUAGGGUUUCUUUUUUUUUCUCCAAUCCAAAAAUCCCCCCUUUUUCACAAUAGAUUCCUCCCUUAAAUACUCUCUCUCUAUUCUCUUUUAGAAUUCUAUUUAAAAUAAAAUCCUAAUAUCUGAAAUAUUAAAUUCGUAAUUACAAAAAUAACCAAAAAUACAAAACACGUUAAACUAAAAACUGCAGGUCCGCAGUUGACAGCACGCGCCCACGCCUUAUCAACAAAGUUCUUCUGACGCUCAUAAUUUCUCCAAGAGAACAAUCCUCCUUAAACAUCAUCUUUUAGCUCAAUUUUAUCAUCAAUCAAUAGAAUUGCACCUACAAAAGUAAAACAUUAUUAUUAAGUGCAAAACAUCGAUAUUAAGGGAAGUAAACAAUGCAAAACUAGUGCAUAAAUUGCACUCUAACAACUUACCUCAAAACGCACCGUUCGUUGCUAUUUAUGGUGCUAAAUGUGGUGUGAAUCUCACUUUCCAAGAAAUUUAUUGUUAUAUACACCAACUUUUUAUUGUUUCCUUUAACACAGUAAUUGCAACAUGAAUAGUUCCUGUCUUAUGACCACCACUCUGGGUUUCCUUAAACUGUCGCGUGACCACUUCAGAGCUGUAUGAUUUUGCUCUUUUUCAUCCAACGGCUAGCUCACUGCAUGACAAAGUAAGGGGGUACCGUGCCCAAGGGGCAUUGUAGACGGAGCCCUGGUUAUAAGAUGUUUACGUCUGAAUUGAAAAAGUUAAAUAUUUUAACUUUUAUCUAAAGGACAAAAUAUCUGAAUAUAACUUUAAUAUUUUCUAAUUAUUACCCCUUUUAAAUAAAUUUAUUUUUUAUUAUACAAAUUAUUCUUUUAUUUUUUUUUAAUUUAUCCUUUUUUUGGGUUAUAUGUGCGUAUUCAACUUUUUCUUUGAAUGAGAAUUUUAACAUAAUAAAGUUUUUAGGUGAGUGCGUUUUAUAACAGGUCCAUCUUUUUAUAUUUAUAUUUACUAUUCUUAUAAUGGAUUUUGAAUUUUGUUUAAUACAUUAAUUUUAAUUCAAAUGAUUAAAUAAUUCUUAAUUGGCUUUUGUAAUUAAUAAGAAUAUCAACCUAAUAUACCAAAAAGAACAUUAUAAGUAUCAUAUAUUAAUGUAAAAAAAUACAUAUGUUAUAUAUAUAUAUAUAUAUAUAUAUAUAUAUAUAUAUAUAUUAUUUUUCUUGCUUUGUUAAGGUAAACAUUAUCUCAAAUUUUUUUUUUACUAAUUAAAUAAUUCAUCUAUAACUUGUCAUGUGUUUAACCAGUAAAAUUGAAGUAUUGUUAAUAUUUAUAUGUUAUACAUGUCAAAAUAUCAUAUUUAAGAUGUUUUAAUUUCGAAAAAUAAAUAACUUAACGCUUAUAUUCAGUUAUUGAAAAAAAAAACAUGUUAUUUAGAUAUAUGUAUUUAAACUAUUAAAAUUUUUGUUAAAUUCAAACAUAUUCAGAUUUCAAACUAAAAAAAAAAAAUGCUACCUUAGUCCUGUAAAUAAAUUAAAAUACAUAAAUUAUGUGGUUUUAGAGGGUUCAUUUCAGCAAUUCAGCCGGUCGUGUACUGCCUUUUGUGAGUUACAAGACCAUGUGCGGAUUGACCAAAGAAAAUCAUAAUUUAACGAUAUUUUCUUUUAAGAUUAAAUCACAUUGAUCUCAUCUUUAUAUUCUUAAAAAAUGUUACAAAAUCUUAUUUGCACCAUAACUUAGUAAACCCGUUCUCUAAAUCUUAUUUGCACCAUAACUUAGUAAACCCAUUCUUAGUUAGAGAACCCGCCAGCAACCCAUUUCUCUUAUUUAUUUCGUGUCCUUCCCUCACAUUUUUUUUGAUUUUUUCCUUUGCUAAAGAAACCUCCUUCCUAUUUUCUUAUCGUAAAGCGAUUGGAACCCCUUCUUGAAUAACCUCAUUUCAAAUAAAAUUAUAUUAUAUUAAACAAUAAAUAAAAAUUGAACGUACUUAAAAUAUUUUAUAACAAAUUACUUACAUUCAUAAUCAAUUUUUUUUUUACUCGUCACUUCUAUUUAAUCAAAAUAAAUUAUAAAAAAUUAAAUUAAUAUAUUUUUCUUUUCCUAUUUCUUACUGAUUAAAAAUUUUUAUACCGAAGUUUGCUUUCAAAUUAUAGUUUAAAAUAUGUGUAAUUUUAUUUAAUAAUUGACUUUAAAAAUCUGUUACUAAAAAACUUUUUAACAUAUUGUGUAGGACAACAAAAUGUGUUAUGUCUCGUAGUUAAUUUUUUUAUAUUAUAGUAAUGAUGUGUUAUUCUUUGUGCUAUGCACCUAUUACUAUGGUUUUUUCGGUACUGCCUUUUUUUAAUUUUUUUUUUCGUUUAAUGUCUUCCAACGAAGUUUUGCUGGGAAUUUAUACAAUUACUGAAUUAAGCUACUUUAUAUAUGUUGAAUUUAUAAAAUAAAAAAGACUCAAUCAUAAGAGUUCGGAAGGAAUCGUUUUCAGUUUUUAUGAUGAUCGCAUUAGUAACUUAGCCAGGAAACUUUGUGUGCACUGAUUGCCUCUAGAUUGUAAAUUCAAUUGAUCUCGUCUUGGUUGAAGUAGAUGAUAGUAAAUAGUAUCUGAGUUUCAUUUCAGAUUCCAAAAACAAUUCUCCAUGUGAAUGGUUAAGUAGAGAUUCACAUUGCUUUCUUUUUCUUUAGAGGAAUGGCUGACUCCUUUGAUCAUGAAAUUGUAUCACGGCUAUCACAAAAACUCGAGUAAUUCUAUUUAUAUAAUCAAAAUAGAGUUGAGUUCGAGCUCCUUCAUUUUAACUGAUUUAUUAUGAUGCAUAACCACAAAUGAUGAGAUGGUGUUGGAUAUGAUAAUGGGAAUUAGUUGUCAAGGAGAAAAUUAAUACAGUUAGUCGCAAAACUCUCCUAGUCCUUGGAAGUAAUUUAAAGGAAAGGUGCAUCAAUUUGUUUGUGUAGCUUACUGUAUGGUUAGAGAAUUUCGUGCUCUUGGUCUUCUGAGCUUUCUUACUCUUGAUUCUAUAGACCUGCGCCCAACAUUUAUCAAGGUUUGGCUUUCUUUAUUUUUUGCUCUUUUUGUGGCUUUUUUGUUUUUGUUUUCGGUUUUCUUUUUUUUUUUUGUUUAUGGCUCUUGGGCCAUAAAUUAUCACAAAAGACAAGUCUUCUCUGGUCUCCGGGAAGAGAAAUGGAAAUUGCAAAAAGUUUUGAUAAUUUUUUGUGCAAUGUAGGACCCAAUAAAGGCAAAAAAAGUUGAAAACACUUUUGUUGUUUUCUAAUUUUAUGAAGGAGUGAGAAUGAUUUUUUAUUUAUUUUUAAUGACUGUGGUGCAAUUUUGCAAAAGAUUAUAUGCCCGAUAAAAAGAGAGCAUCUAUGGUCAAGUGUGCGCCACACAUAUUAUCGAGUGCGAUAGCGCGUGGGAUGAGCUUUCUUAAGAGGGCGCUGGGCACCACAGCAAAGCUUCCCCAAUGAAAGCUCGCCACUCAUUAAGCUACUCCAGAUAUACACGGCUGCAAAAAUAAACAAAUCAACUUGCAAUAAAAUAAAUAUUAAAAUAAACUGAAAAAAGCUCAAAUGCCGACAAAUUCCACUUUGCUUCAAAAUUAACUUUAUAGUAAGUAUGAAGAAUAAAAUAUAAACAAUCAACUUCCAAGUUGAAAAUUCUGCAUUCUUAAACCAAUGUUCAAACAGUGUAUGCUGAAGCAUCGAUCUGCUUUGUAAAUUAGACCUGCUGGCAUGAUAUGGCGGAGGCCGCGGUGAACUUUGCUCUAGAGACCUUGGGUCCUUUGCUUGUCGAAGAAAUCAGAUUGUGGGGAGGUGUUAGAAAAGAAGUUCAAAGCAUCAAAAGCGAACUGGAGAGUCUCAGAUCUUUCCUCAAAGACGCAGAUGCAAGGGCAGCAGUCGAAGAAUUAAAAGGAGGCGGUGAGGAAAGUGUCAGAACUUGGGUGAAACAACUGAGGGAUGAAGCUUAUCGCAUUGAAGAUGUGAUCGACGAGUACACACUCACGGUGGCAAAACUCCCUCAUGGGAGUGGCCUCGUUGGUGUUCUCCAUAGAAUCAGUCGUUUCAUAAAGAAGUUGAAGCUGCGGUGUGGAGUUGCUACUGAGAUUCAAGAUAUCAAAUCAGCGCUUGCUGAUAUAAAGGGAAGGGGAGAAAGAUAUCGAUUCAGAUCUAUUGAUGAACCAUCGAGCAGUGGAACCAGAAAUGUUAUCCCACAUGACUCUCGAGUUCGUUCCUUUUUCGUUGAAGAUGAUGAAGUUGUGGGCAUCGAAUCCAUUAAAGAUAAAUUGAUUGAUUUGAUGGUGAACGGAAGAUCCGAACGUUCAGUGGUUGCUGUGGUGGGUGAAGGAGGACUAGGCAAGACCACUCUUGCCGGAAAACUUUUUAACAAUGAUGGUUUAAAAACUCACUUCAGUAGCCGGGCUUGGGUCACCGUUGGGAAAAAAUACAAAAAAAAUGAUCUGUUGAGGACAAUUCUAAAGGAGUUUCAUCGUUUGUCAAAACAUGGAAGAGAUGGACCUGAUAACUACGCUGAGGGACCACUCUUGCCUACUCUAGAGGAGAUACACAACAUGGAAGAGAUGGACCUGAUCACCACGCUGAGGGACCACUUGAAGGACAAAAGUUACAUGGUUGUGUUUGACGAUGUUUGGAAGAUUGAUUUUUGGAGAGACGUGGAGCAUGCUUUACUUGAUAACAAGAAAAGCAGCAGGAUAAUUGUCACAACACGGCGCAUGGAUGUCGCUAAGUUUUGCAAAUCAUCUUCCCCUGUUCAUGUCCAUGAGCUUGAAACUUUGCAUCCGAAUGAAGCGUGGAAACUUUUUUGUAGAAAGGCGUUCGGAACAAGCUCCGGAGGCUCUUGUCCUUCAGGGUUGAGGGAGUUGUCCCAGGACAUCCUUGCAAAAUGUGGAGGUUUGCCUCUUGCUAUUGUGGGCGUAGGUGGACUUCUUUCAACCAAGGACAUGGUUGUAUCUGAAUGGAAGAAAUUGUUUGAUAGGUUGGGCUCACUGUUAGGAAGCGAUCCCCAUCUAAAAGAUUGCAACCGAGUUUUAUCUGAAGGGUAUUAUGAUCUUCCUCACCAUCUCAAAUCAUGUCUUCUGUACUUUGGCUUAUUUCCAGAGAGCUGCAAAGUUAACUGUGCUAGACUCAUCCGUUUGUGGAUAGCUGAGGGCUUUGUCCAGUACAGCAAACGCCCCACAUCUGAACAGGUUGCAGAAGAAUACUUGAAUGAGCUCGUUGACAGAAGCUUGGUUCAAGUUUCAGAGAGAGAUAUUUCUGGACGAGCUAGAAUCUGCCAAGUUCAUGAUCUUAUGCACGAGAUCAUCAUCAGAAAAACUGAAGAAUUGGGCUUCGGUCGUGUGCUGAACGGAGAGGACUUGAGUCGCUGCAGUAAAACUCGACGCAUUACUAUGCAGAGAAGUAUUGAUGAUGGUGCUUUAGUGAGCAUCAAGGACUCGAAGGUCCGUUCUGUUUUUCUGUUCAAUAUAGAUAAGCUGCCCGACUCUUUCAUGAAUGCAAAUAUUGCCAAUUUCAAGCUCAUGAAAGUACUAGAUCUGGAAGAUGCUCCUAUAGUUUACCUUCCUGAAGGAGUGGGAAACUUAUUCAAUUUGCACUACUUGAGUGUGAGAAAUACAGAAGUAAAAAUAAUUCCCAAGUCCAUUGGAAAUCUUCUCAGUUUAGAGACUUUGAAUAUGAAAAAUACUUUGGUGAGAGAACUUCCAGUAGAGAUCAGGAAUCUUAAAAAGUUGCGUUAUCUAAUGGUGUAUCAGCUCAAUUAUACCGCAGGUGGAACAGUAGCAGAAGAAGCAGCAGCGAAAUUACACGAGGGCUUUGGGUCUCUAACGAAUCUGCAGAAGUUGUGUAUUAUAGAAGCUGACUCUGAAGCGCUCAAAGAGCUUAUGAAGCUAAGGCAGUUAAAAAAGUUGAGCAUUAGGCCCCAAAAUGGAAGUGGCAAGGAUCUGUGUGCUUUGAUUGCAAAUUUGGAAAACCUAGAGUCUUUAAAUGUAGGAAUGAAAAGCAAAGAAGAAGUACUUGGCUUGCAGUCUUUGAGUCGUCCUCCUCGAUAUCUGCAGCGUCUGUACUUGAAGGGGAAUAUGAAGAAACUGCCGGAUUGGAUUUUUAAACUAAAAAAUGUAAUCAGAUUGAGUUUGGUACUGUCGGGAUUGACUGAGGAGCCAAUUAGAGUCCUUCAAGCCUUGCCUAAUUUAUUGGAUCUUUUACUCACAGGGACAUACAACUACGAGCUUUUUCACUUUGAAGCAGGUUGGUUUCCAAAACUCCAAAUAUUGAAGCUCUUUGACUUCGUCGCGGUGAAAUCGGUUAUAAUAGAGAAAGGUACGAUGCCUGAUAUUAAAGAACUGCAGAUUGGGCCUUGCCCGCUGUUGAUGGAGAUUCCUAUUGGAAUUGAACAUCUUAAAAACCUUAAGCUACUUCUAUUUGCUCGUAUGGUUAAACAAGUGUAUUACAUGACAAAAGACGAGAACUGGGAGAAGGUUACUGAGCAUAUACCAGAUGUCCUUGUCACUUUUGUGAAGGCCGGGCAAGUGUUUCAUUAUGGAAAAGAGGAUCUCUCGGUUCUCUCAUCUCUCUCUCCUGAAUAUGUUGAGCAAAUCUGCUGAAGUAGAGGACUCAAAUAAGGAGCAGUCUAUGAAAUAAGUAAACAGGUCUGCCACUCUCCUGCGUAUUUGAAUUAUUUUCUAUUUACGUUUAAGAAAAAUUAUUUUUCUCAUUUUUAAUUUGACAGACAAUUUAAUUAUAUAUAAUUCAAAUAAAAAUUCACCAAGAAAAUUCAUUUUUCCCUGUAAUUUGAGUACGUUUAAUAAAUAAAUAAACAAAUGCAGUAGGUCAGUAAAUCUUUUUCUAGUCAAAUAUAUAGUUAGAAUCAUAUAAUGAUUAGGUAUUAAUGUUAGUAUAGUAAUUUCCGUUAUAUUUUUUGUUACCAUGAACAGAUGGAGUAUGUAUAUCUUCCUUCUGGUGAAUUCAUUGAUGAGUUCAUCGAACCUAUACUGGAUCAGAUUGUGGCGGCAAGCUGCUAUUGAUAUGCUUUGAGUUUGAGUAAUUAUGAUAAGUGUUAUCAUGUAAUAAAUGCUUAUGUGAGUUGUUGCGGCCGUGAGUGUGAGUGUAUUCUUCUAUAUACAUCCAAGACUGAGAUUAUAAUUUUAGAAAUGUUGUAUUGCUAUUGUAAGGAAUUGUCGUCAUAUAAUAUUCAGUGUUUAAUAUAAUAGUCGGAAUUUUUUUUUUUUUUUUGAAAUUGCUGUGAGUCUUGGGAGGCUCACUCAUUGUAAUUGAUAUGUUAAACUGAUUAAGGAAGCGGGAAGCAUAAAGUAGACCAAAGUGUUGAAUAGUUCUUUAAAAGAGAAAUAUUGCUAGAAAUUUUAAUUUUAUUUAUUUAUUUAUUAUGUCAUGGUUUUAUUUAUUCAUAAAAUUGAAAGCCACAAUGUUGAGUCUCUUCACAGUAAAAGAAACUUGUGGCCCUAAAUGAUCGUUAGAAUUUAAGAAUAUAUAUAUAAUUUUUUUUUUCAUGUUACUAAGAUUUUUUUUUUAUUUCCAUUCAAAAUUAACCAUUAAAAAGAAUUAAAUUUAAGAAAAGCCAAUUAAAAAGAAAUUGUAACCGUUGCUCCAUUGUGAAAAUUACGUUCAACAUCUCAAGAAAACAAUCUUAGUUGGAAGAAAUUCCGGAAAAAUAUAGAUGGGUUUUUGAAUUUGAAAUUUAAACUCAAUUAAGGAAACUAGUAAAUAAAAGGAAACACAAAACCAUAUUGGCCGUGGCCGUGGCCGUGGACCUGACAACAUAGCCCUCCGAUAAUUUCAAUCUCUUUAUCAUCCUUCCUAAAACACCCUUCCAAACUUCUCAAACUAUAGAAGACAGAAUCACAGACAGGAAUUACAUCAGGGCUAAUUAUGUCAUUUUAAAUUCCUGGGUCAAAUCUGGUGAAGUAUUGUCCUCGUCAUGAUCAUUUGCCAUGCAAAAGUAUAACAAACUCUUCGGCAAUCUCACUACUACUAUGGCAAUAGUGGCUGAAGGUGCUGAAAAAGUAGAGGAAAAAUAAACGGGUUUGACGGGGAAAAAAAAAAGAAGAAGAAGAAGAAGAGAAAUGGAUAAUGCAUUAUUCAUCAAAACAUAAAAUACUGCCGGGCGAAGGAGAUUUCUCUCUUUCUCUCCCAGAAAUUUGGCUCUGCUUCUCACAUCUGCGCUUCUUCUCUUGAUUCUUAUGGUACGGUAAUAUAAUCAAUUUUACGGAAAAAGAAAAAUAGAGAAUUGUAAAAUUACCAGGAAAAUUAUUAAAAAGUAUUAUUAUCUGUUUACAUAUCUUGUUUAUUUGGAAGUCAAUAUAAACUAUAUUUGGAUGGUUUAGAAACUGUCAUUCAGAAAUUCAAGAAGGCAGAGUCAAAUUUGGACACUCUAAAUUAAGAAGCUGGGAGCGUCCCUUAUCCAUGGAGUUGAUGCAACUGAAAUGAAGCGUCAUCCUGAAUUGAGAGAGCGGAGCGUUGACAGAAUUAUCUUCAACUUCCCCCAUGCUGGCUUUUCUGGAAAGGAAGACAACAAUCAACUUAUUUAGUGAGCUGCUUUAAGAUACAGUUCCUUGUAGAAAUUUUCUGUUUCUUCUGAAUUGCUUCCCGAUUUGAAACUUUCAUUUCUUUUGCAAUGAUCCAGCUAUUCAUUGUGUUAAGGAAGCUCACACUUGCAAUUUGGUCAGCAGAGCAGAGGAUCACAGCAGCAGCUACAUUCAGUUGCGAAUUGAUGACGUGGCUUGCCAGCUGGCGCCUGGUGGUUAUGUGAACAGUUGUGCAUGUGUUAAUUAACUUAAGCUAUUAUAAUUAGUUACUUGAAAUAGUUAAUUAGCUAUAGUUAGUUACAACAAUCUGAGCUGAGCUUCAGCUUAGUAUAAAAAGGAACCUCUUGUACAUAUCAACGUGUGUGUGAUUAAUGAAAUGAUGUUCUAGAAAAAUCUCAGAUCUAGUUCUUAUUUCCUUUCAAUUUUCUCACUGGUUUCUCAGCUGCCAAACAAUAUUUUCGUUCUUCAACUCAUUGUCACUUUUUGAUGUUAAUACAGGGAUUAACAACUCAUGCUUUUGAAGAUCUCACGGAUAGGAUUGAAACUUAAUUGAAAAGUAUAGUUUCUAAAGGAGAAUUGCUAAAUUGCUGAUGAAGAAAUUAUAGUCUCGUUUAUUUGGAAGUUAAUAUAAACCAUCUUUGGAUGGAUUAGAAACUGUCACUCAGAAAUUCAAGAAGGCAGAGUCAAACUUGGACACUCUAAAUUAAGAAGCUGGGAGCAUCCCUUAUCCAUGGAGUUGAUGCAACUGAAAUGAGGCGUCAUCCUGAAGUGAGAGAGCGGAUCGUUGAUAGAAUUAUCUUCAAAUUCCCCCAUGCUGGCUUUUCUGGAAAGGAAGACAACAAUCAACUUAUUCAAUGAGCUGCUUUAAAAUACAGUUCCUUGUAGAAAUUUUGUGUUUCUUCUGUAUUGCUUACUAAUCUGAAACUUUCAUUUCUUUUGCAAUGAUCCAGCUAUUCACUGUCAUCGUUUGAUGUUAAUACGGGGAUUAGCAACUCAUGCUUUUGAAGAUUUCAUGGAUAGGAUUGAAACUUAAUUGAAAAUCAUAGUUUCCAAAGGGGAAUUGCUAAAUUGCUGUGAAGAAAUUAUAGUCUGGUUUAGAUUUAGAUACAAGUUGAAAGCGAAAACCCAGCUUUGAUUUUAAGGGAUCUGGGAUUUGGAUGACUCUUGCAUAUAUAGAAUAUUUUUGUAAUGUUUGCUUUCAAUGGUUGAUUACUUGUUAGUGAGGAAUUUCAGAGUGACAAAAAAUGCAGAGUCCUGUGGAAACGUGGUGUUAAGAAUAGAAUCAAGUUAGUUAAUGAGAAUGCUGACAUGGCAGCUGAGUCAGCUAAAGGUUGUUAUAGAAGUUGUUAGUAGUAAUCUGCGCGUGUGUGCAAUGUGUGUAGAAUCUUCUAUGCACAUAUAUAAAAAGGCUUGUAACCUCCAGAUUCAUUAUGAUCAAUAAUAACAGAAUUUUCAGUAUACAGAAGUUUUCUUUCUUUCUAUUUUCUCAAUAACCAAACAACAUCACAGUUUCAUAUAAAACUUAAUACGUGGGUCGAUACACUACAGUGACAUGAAAAUGGUUAAAAAAAAAAAGAGUGAACUUGCUUAAUAAAGUGAUCCGUUUUGCUUAAAAAUUCAAAACAUUGUAGUCUAGAGUUCCCUGUGAUAUUUUAAAAAUCACUAAUUCUGAAAAUGCUGGCUCGUAUACCUGUUCGAUGAUCGUUCUUCUGGUAAUCGCAGAAUCCAUAUGAGUCUUGUGGAAGGUUUCUUGAAAUGCAAGUGGCAUGCUGAGGCAUAGUUGUGAAGUUCAUGUAACCCACAAAACAACUGCUCCAUUUCGCGACUGGAAUAUCGAGGAACUUGCUCCCAAACACUGUUUGUCAUCAAUGUACCCUGUCAACCUUAAAAAAGAAGACUACCCUGGUUACAACAACAAGAGAGGAGCUGGUUUGAACUGUGAUGAGCCCUUCCCCUUGGGAGAGUGCAGUACCUUCAUAUUUGGAUUCUAUCGUGCUCGCAAGAGAGUAAUGAGUUAUGGUGGAUUCGCUAACAAAAGACAUCAGCCGGUUCAAGAGAUUCCAAUCCAAGUGCAGAAGGAUGGAACUCCAUUUGACUCGAGAUAUGCUAAUGCAAAGUCAGCCACUGGUAUGAAUGAAUUUCCAGCCUCUUCGAAGUUUAAUGGCAGCGGCAGGGGUUACUCUGUUCGUGAAUAUCCUAGGUUUGACAGUUUCAUACAUCCUCGAACAAGUUUCACUAGAAAUAUGACUGAUCAUCCAGCAUAUAAGAGACUAGCUUUGAUGAGUAAUAUACGGAGAGAAAAUGCUAGGUCCCAUAAUGGCCGCUUCAAUAGUUCCAUAAUUCUGUGUGAAAGGUAUAUCGCAGAAGUACCAGGAUUCCAAAGAGAAAAUGCGAGGAGUUUGUAUCCUAUGGAUGAAAGUCACUUGUUAAGGUUUCAAACAAUCAAUUUUUCUUACACCGUCUAUUUGGAAGAAUUAGAACAAGGGAGCAAAAAAUUCUUAUGCUGAUAGUUCCCAUUCUCCAUAAUUUUUUGUAGUGCAUGUUUUUAAGCAUAUCUAGCAUUACUGAAUGAAGUAGAAAUUUCAGGAAGCCAAGAAAUUUUGUGUGCAUUGAUUGCCUCUAGAUUUUAAAUUCAAUUGAUCUCCCCUUGGUUGAAGUAGAUGAUAGUAAAUAGUAUCUGUUUUAUUUCAGAUUCCAAAAACAAUCCUCCAUGUGAAUAGUUAAGUAGAGAUCCGCAUUGCUUUCUUUUUCUUUAGAGGAAUGGCUGAUUCCUUCGAUCAUGACAUUAUAUCACAGCCUUCACAAUCACAAAAACUCGAGUAAUUCUAAUCAUAUAACCAAAAAAGAGUUGAGUUCGAGCUCCUUCAUUUUAACUGAUUUAUUAUGAUGGAUAACAACAAAUGAUGAGAUGGUGUCGGAUAUGAGAAUGGGAAUUAGUUGUCAGCGAGAAAAUUAAUUUAUCAAGAAUACAGUUAGUCGCAGAAACUCUCCUAGUCCUUGGAAGUAAUUUAAAUGAAAGGUGCAUCAAUUUGUUUGUGUAGCAUACUGUAUGGCUAGAGAGUUUCAUGGUCUUGGUCUUCGCAGUUUUCUUAUUGGUGUGGUUUGGUUUUCUUUAUUUUUUGCCGACAAAUAAACAAAUCAACUUGCAAUAAAAUAAAUAUUAAAAUACUCUGAAAAAGCUCAAAUGCCGACAAAUUCCAGGUUGUUCAGUUCAAAAUUAAUUCUAUAGUAAGUAUGAAGAAUAAAAUAAAAGCAAUCAAUUUGCAAAUUGAAAAUUCUGCAUUCCUAAACCAAUGUCCAAACAGGGGUAAACAUGUCUGCAAACAUAAACAAUGAUCAAACACUGUUUGCAAAAGCAUCAAUCUGCUUUGUAAAUUAGACCUGCUGGUGUGAUAUGGCGGAGGCUGCGGUGAACUGUGCAAUAGAGACCUUGGGUCCUUUGCUUGUCGAAGAAAUCAGAUUGUGGGGAGGUGUUAGAAAAGAAGUUCAAAGCAUCAAAAGCGAACUGGAGAGUCUCAGAUCUGUCCUCAAAGACGCGGAUGCAAGGGCAGCAGUCGAAGAAUUAGAAGGAGGCGGUGAGGAAAGUGUCAGAACUUGGGUGAAACAACUGAGGGAUGAAGCUUAUCGCAUUGAAGAUGUGAUCGACGAGUACACACUCAUGGUGGCAAAACUCCCUCAUGGGAGUGGCCUCGUUGGUGUUCUCCAUAGAAUCAGUCGUUCCAUAAAGAAGCUGAAGCUGCGGCGUGGAGUUGCUACUGAGAUUCAAGAUAUCAAAUCAGCGCUUGCUGAUAUAAAGCGAAGGGGAGAAAGCUAUCGAUUCAGAUCUAUUGAUGAACCAUCGAGCAGUGGAACCAGAAAUGUUAUCCCACAUGACUCUCGAGUUCGUUCCUUUUUCGUUGAAGAUGAUGAAGUUGUGGGCAUCGAAUCCAUUAAAGAUAAAUUGAUUGAUUUGAUGGUGAACGGAAGAUCCGAACGUUCAGUGGUUGCUGUGGUGGGUGAAGGAGGACUAGGCAAGACCACUCUUGCCGGAAAACUUUUUAACAAUGAUGGUUUAAAAACUCACUUCAGUAGCCGGGCUUGGGUCACCGUUGGGAAAGAAUACAACAAAAAUGAAUUGUUGAGGACAGUUAUAAAGGAGUUUCACAGUUUCUCAGGGCAGCCUACUCCAGUCGAGAUACACAAAAUGGAAGAGAUGGAGCUGAUCACCACGCUGAGGGGCCACUUGAAGGACAAGAAUUACGUGGUUGUGUUCGACGAUGUUUGGAAGAUUGAUUUUUGGGGAGACGUGGAGCAUGCUUUACGUGAUAACAAGAAAUGCAGCAGGAUAAUUGUCACAACACGGCACAUGAAUGUCGCUAAGGCUUGCAAAUCAUCUUCCCCUGUUCAUAUCCAUGAGCUUGAAACUUUGCCUCCAAUUGAAGCGUGGAAACUUUUUUGUAGAAAGGCUUUCGGACCAAGCUCCGGAGGCUGUUGUCCUUCAGAGUUGAAGGAGUUGUCCCAGGACAUCCUUGGAAAAUGUGGAGGUUUACCUCUUGCUAUCGUGGCCGUAGGUGGACUUCUUUCAACCAAGAACAGGGUUGUAUCUGAAUGGAAGAAACUAUUUGAUCGGUUGGGCUCAAUCUUAGGAAGUGAUCCCCAUCUAAAAGACUGCAACAGAGUUUUAUCUGAAGGGUAUCACGAUCUUCCUCACCAUCUGAAAUCAUGUCUUCUGUACUUUGGCUUAUUUCAAGAGAGCUGCAAAGUUAACUGUGCUAGACUCAUCCGUUUGUGGAUAGCUGAGGGCUUUGUCCAAUACAGCAAAUGCCCCACGUCUGAACAAGUUGCAGAAGAAUUCUUGAAUGAGCUCAUUGACAGAAGCUUGGUAGAGGUUUCAGAGAGUGAUAUUUCUGGACGAGCUAGAAUCUGCCAAAUUCAUGAUCUUAUGCACGAGAUCGUCAUCAGAAAAACUGAAGAAUUGGGCUUCGGUCGUGUGCUGAACGGAGAGGACUUGAGUCGUUGCAGUAAAACUCGACGCAUUACUAUACAGAGAAGUAUUGAUGAUGGUGCUUUAGAGAGCAUCAAGCACUCGAAGGUCCGUUCUGUUUUUCUUUUCAAUGUAGAUAAGCUGCCCGACUCUUUCAUGAAUGCAAGUAUUGCCAAUUUCAAGCUUAUGAAAAUACUAGAUCUGGAAGAUGCUCCUGUAGAUUACCUUCCUGAAGGAGUGGGAAACUUAUUCAAUUUACACUACUUAAGUGUGAGA